UGCUGUUUGUCUCCGACCUCUGUCAGAUGUUAUCCUCCCAGCAUUGCCAGCAAAGAAGGGAUCAUAUGAGGGAUCUCGAAUCUAUUCCAGCUUGUCUCCAGAGUGGUGCUGGUCUUUAGUAGAAAAUCUCCAUCAAUGCCUGCCCCACAUUCAGCAGUUACUCUCAUAUAUGGGUCCAACAGCUUCAGGCAUGAUGGUCCUUUUCAAUUUGAACCGGUCAUGGAAUUUCUACAAAAUUGCAUUCUCACUG